UGACGCGUGGCCUGGCAGCCAGCAGCUGCUGCGCGGAAAAACGGAUCUAGUAGCUACUGCGUUCGUAGAGGCCUUCUCUUUCAUGAGCGAUCGAGUCAAACGGCCGUUGUGCGGUUAAAAAAAAGUGUGAUAAGCAAAAGAUGGACGAGCGGAUGGGUAGCACUCCCUCUCCGCCACUCCGCAUGGUCCAGCCAUCAUUUGCGGUCGAGUGAGUGGAUAAAAAAAAGAAAUGAAAAUUUCUUAAGUGCGUAAAAAAAUACGGAUGCUAGCUUGUCAAAGGAUGGAUCUCGUUGAUCCGGUUUUCUCGGGAGUGAGAUUUUUUUUACAGUUUUCCUAUAAAUUUUUGCUGAAUUAAUAAACUUUGGUACAAUAUUAAUAUAUGUGCAUACUCUAUAUUAUUUAUUCAAUUUAAUUGCACAUAGCAAAUUGAAUAAAGCAUAUUUUAUGUUGUGAUUUCUAUUUAAAUUAAUUAUUUCUUAUCACAAAUAAUUAAUUAGAAAAACAUAUGAUUAAAUAUGGAUAAACAUAUUUUACAUCAGAUGUGUUAUGUUCAUGCAUUAAUUUUAGUUUUUCUGCUUUUAUUUCUGUUGGGGGUAUGCUUCGUAGCCGAAGAUCCUAAAGAAAGAGAACACCUUCGGAAGAUCCUCUCAGGAGCGAGCGCCGAAGCUAUUACCUAUAGAGGUUCGGCAUAAUGACAGAUCUCGAGACGAAGGGUCGAACCGACUUAAAGAUGGAUUGACUUAAAGACCCAUGAUGUUUUGUGUCAUUAUUGUAGUCUAUUGUAAAGGACAUAAAUGUAAUUUUACACAGGCUGCACCCUGUACUUAUAAAUAGGUGAACAGUACCCCGGCACUGUUCAUGCAACCCUGUAACCGCUAACGCAUUACACUGGAA
rnacentral:lncRNA from 1 species